UACGAAGGGUGCAAACGUUGCUCGGAAUUAUUGGGCGUAAAGCGCACGUAGGCGGACUUUUAAGUCAGGGGUGAAAUCCUGGAGCUCAACUCCAGAACUGCCUUUGAUACUGGAAGUCUUGAGUCCGGAAGAGGUAAGUGGAACUGCGAGUGUAGAGGUGAAAUUCGUAGAUAUUCGCAAGAACACCAGUGGCGAAGGCGGCUUACUGGUCCGGUACUGACGCUGAGGUGCGAAAGCGUGGGGAGCAAACAGG
rnacentral:rRNA from 1 species